rnacentral:rRNA from 1 species
UACGUAGGGGGCUAGCGUUGUCCGGAAUCACUGGGCGUAAAGCGUCUGCAGGUGGUUUCCUAAGUCCACUGUUAAACCUUGAGGCUCAACCUCAAAUCUGCAUUGGAAACUAGGAGACUUGAGUAUAGUAGGGGUAGAGGGAAUUUCCAGUGGAGCGGUGAAAUGCGUAGAUAUCUGGAGGAACACCGGUGGCGAAGGCGGCAUCCUGGACCGGCAUUGACGCUGAGGCGCGAAAGCCAGGGGAGCAAACGGG